GGCCGUGUAGCGGGGUGGUAAGGAGCAGGGCUUGUAACCGCCAGGUCGCUGGUUCGAUUCCCCGCUGGGGCA